rnacentral:rRNA from 1 species
AGUGAACGCUGGCGGUAGGCCUAACACAUGCAAGUCGAACGGCAGCACAGUAAGAGCUUGCUCUUACGGGUGGCGAGUGGCGGACGGGUGAGGAAUACAUCGGAAUCUACUUUUUCGUGGGGGAUAACGUAGGGAAACUUACGCUAAUACCGCAUACGACCUACGGGUGAAAGCAGGGGAUCUUCGGACCUUGCGCGAUUGAAUGAGCCGAUGUCGGAUUAGCUAGUUGGCGGGGUAAAGGCCCACCAAGGCGACGAUCCGUAGCUGGUCUGAGAGGAUGAUCAGCCACACUGGAACGGAGACACGGUCCAGACUCCUACGGGAGGCAGCAGUGGGGAAUAUUGGACAAUGGGCGCAAGCCUGAUCCAGCCAUACCGCGUGGGUGAAGAAGGCCUUCGGGUUGUAAAGCCCUUUUGUUGGGAAAGAAAAGCAGCAGGUUAAUACCCCGCUGUUCUGACGGUACCCAAAGAAUAAGCACCGGCUAACUCCGUG